rnacentral:lncRNA from 1 species
GUUGGGCUUCAGAAUUGCUCUGGACCAGUGAUCUUUGUAUACUUCCUAUUCUCCCCACCCCUUUGAACAGGAAUGUCUGUAGUGGUUAUCCUAUGAGUGUCUCCUAUCGUAUGUUGAAUAUGUGGGGACAAGAUAACUUGUCUUCAUACUACAUAGAUCUUUAGUUUGAGAUAUCUGUACUCAACGAGCUGUCUAUAUAUAUAUAUGUGUAUGUAUAUAUAUAUAUAUAUAUAUAUGUUUUUUUUUUUUGAGACGGAGUUUUGCUCUUGUUGCCCAGGUUGGAGUGCAAUGGCACGAUCUAGGCUCACCAAACCAUUGUUAAAAGAAGAAAAUAGUGAUUGUUAGUGCUCUGAAAAAUCAAACCAAACCAAACAAACAAUAAAUAAGUGAUCUUGAGGUUUUGUUCACAUGGCACUCUUGAUUAGAAAUACCACAUUUUCCCU